rnacentral:rRNA from 1 species
CGAAACCAAAAGACUGGCGACCGGCGCACGGGUGAGUAACACGUAUCCAACCUGCCUCAUACUCGGGGAUAGCCUUUCGAAAGAAAGAUUAAUAUCCGAUAGCAUAUAUUUCCCGCAUGGGUUUUAUAUUAAAGAAAUUCGGUAUGAGAUGGGGAUGCGUUCCAUUAGUUUGUUGGGGGGGUAACGGCCCACCAAGACUACGAUGGAUAGGGGUUCUGAGAGGAAGGUCCCCCACAUUGGAACUGAGACACGGUCCAA